rnacentral:lncRNA from 1 species
GCAAACUGACCGUGGUUAGUUGUAACUGCCUAGCUAUUAACGCGUAUUAAUCCUUCUAUAAAUACCCACGCCUUGCAACUCUUUUGUUCAGCACUUUGCACCGAUUAACGCAUCAACACCUCUCCACAAAGAAUGGAUAACAAGAAAAAUCUUCCUUCCUCUUCCCCGGGCUCAAGCACACCACGUCCUCUGGGAAGGGGACGAAUCAAGAUUCCAGCUUCCAAACCUCCACGCACUAGAAUCCUUCGCCCUAGGCCGGCACCAGCCAAGGUAGUAGAAACCAUCAUUCUCUCUUCUGAUUCUUCAAGCUCUAGUUCAGAUGAUGAAGAUGAGGAUUACCUUGAGUUCCUCAGUACCC